rnacentral:rRNA from 1 species
GGUCAAGUUAUUAAGGGUGCAGGGCGGAUGCCUUGGCACUAGGAGCCGAUGAAGGACGUGAUAAGCUGCGAUAAGCUUCGGGGAGUUGCACGUAAACUUUGAUCCGAAGAUUUCCGAAUGAGGAAACUCACUUAGAGUAAUGUCUAAGUAUCAUUAAGUGAAUACAUAGCUUAAUGAGGGGAACUCAGGGAACUGAAACAUCUAAGUACCUGAAGGAAGAGAAAGAAAUUCGAUUCCGUAAGUAGCGGCGAGCGAACGCGGAUUAGCCCAAACCAAUAAAGUUUUCUUUAUUGGGGUUGCGGACAUAUCAUAACGAAGAGGUAUCGUAAUUG